GGUAUGAGUAGCCAGGAUAUUGAUAGGGGCAGUCAAGAGAAGAAUUCUACUGAAAUAAGUGAUUGGUUCUGGAAAAGGAUGUGUCAAAAUUCUUAUCUGAUGGCAGUCUAAAGUCCUGGAAGAAAGAUUUCCACUUUUUCUACUGGAUAUAGCUGUGUCUACAUGGAAUACCUGGCAAAUGGACUCAUCCAGCAACCACGAAAGAACAAGACAGAGCUGCUGAGCAAAAAGGAGAGAACCUGGGUGCAUGGAAUAUUGUCGAACCACUGUGUUAGUUAGUGGCACCCAGAAUUGCCUACCUUUGGUUUUCUUGUCAUGUAAGAAAGCCAAUCUACCCUACUGAAGAAGCAGAAGACAUGGAGACCUGAUGUGACCUAGCUGACAGCCAACACCAACACGAUAAUGAGACCACCUUGGACAGUCCAGCUGACCAGCUAGUAGAAUGCGGCUGCCUGAAUGAGCCAAGAAGGCAAAGCAGCAGACAAACCACCCUGCCAACCCACGGAAC